AACCUUCAAUCAAAUUAUAUAAACAAGUAUAAUCGUAUAAAAAUGCUCACAUUUUUCUAUAUAUAAGUGAACUUCACUUCAAUCUACUUAUUGCAUUAACAUUUAGCUAGCUAGCAACAUUGUAAACACACUCAUAAAUUUAGAUGAAGAUGGGGAACUUGAUCAAGGUGGUUUGGUUGGUGAUGGUGGUGGCGAUGGUCGUAAAAAUGGAGGCUAUUGACUUGUGUAACAUGAGUGAGGACGGUUUAAUGGCGUGCAAACCGGCAGUGACAGCACCAGAACCGGCUGAUCCCACAGCAGAAUGUUGCCAGGCUCUUUCUGGAGCAGACUUGUCAUGUUUGUGUUCUUACAGGAACUCUUUUGUGCUGCCUUCUCUUGGUAUAGAUCCUGAUCUUGCUUUGGCACUUCCAUCCAAGUGCAAUCUCACCCCUCCUGCUAAUUGUUAAGAUCUGAAGGCGUUGAGCCACCAGAACGUGAAGCAUCCAAUGAUCUGCUGAAGGCCCUUUCCAAUAUCUAAACCAUACUGUGAAAUUUGUGUAAUAUAUUAUCAGUUUAUUGAGCUUAAGGAAACCUAAACUUUGUUGUAUCUUUUUGGCAAAUAAAAAUAUGUGGUGUGAUCGAAUGUGAAUUAAA